AACGAACGCUGGCGGCAUGCCUAACACAUGCCAGUCGAACGAGACCUUCGGGUCUAGUGGCGCACGGGUGCGUAACGCGUGGGAACCUGCCCUUAGGUUCGGAAUAACUCCCCGAAAGGGGUGCUAAUACCGGAUAAUGUCUUCGGACCAAAGAUUUAUCGCCUUUGGAUGGGCCCGCGUUGGAUUAGCUAGUUGGUAGGGUAAAAGCCUACCAAGGCGACGAUCCAUAGCUGGUCUGAGAGGAUGAUCAGCCACACUGGGACUGAGACACGGCCCAGACUCCUACGGGAGGCAGCAGUGGGGAAUAUUGGUCAAUGGGCGAAAGCCUGAUCCAGCAAUGCCGCGUGAGUGAUGAAGGCCUUAGGGUUGUAAAGCUCUUUUACCCGGGAUGAUAAUGACAGUACCGGGAGAAUAAGCUCCGGCUAACUCCGUG
rnacentral:rRNA from 1 species